ACAGUAGUGCCUAUUAGUGUUUGAUUAUGAAAUAUCUCCCAAGGAGCAUGUGGUGAAUUCUAGAUUAUGAUGCUAUUUGGGGAAGUUCUGGAAACACUGGGAGGUUCUAGAAGUGUUGAGAGAUGGGGCAUGAUUAGAAGAGAGAGUUCACUGAGACUCGGACUUUGAAGGUUCUCUGCAGUCUCCAGUUCCAUCAUGGCUCUGAUUCCUGUUCACUUUGAGUGCACAGAAGUCUGAGACUGGAGCCACAGAGCAAACUAGCUGGAUCUGUGAGCUCUGGAUUCAACUGAGAGACCCUGUCUCUGGCCUGGAGAUGGCUCAGUGGGUCAUGACACUCACUGCCAGAGUUUGAUCCCAGGAACCUACAUGGAAGGGAGACUUUGCUUCAGGCUCUCAGCACCCAGGCCUAUCUGUUGCACAGGGGCUGCUACUCAAGCAGUCCAGAGAAACAAACUGGGAGGACCAGCCGAGGCCACUGAUGGAUGAGAAGCGAGAACACGUGGAAAGCUUGUGAGACCGAGCACCAUCAUCUGCUGCAGUUGGGUAGUUGGACUAUUCUUGCCCCUCAUUCAGAAACACACAACACUGAUUCCAGCCCUGAAAAAUGAAAAGACGUGUAGGAGGUAAC